ACUUCCCCUGGCGUCUCAAAAAGACCAUCGCUUGAUCUGGCUCUCUGGCCACGCCUUUUGGCCCAGGGAGGCCCAGGUCCUGCUGUUUGCCUCUCUCUGUCCCUGGUUCGCACUCAGUACUGAGACCCCGCCUCAUCCUUUCCCCUCCUUCUCUGCAGACCUCUGUAUCCCUGUUGUCCCUUUCCUCUAUAUCCCAAGGUAACUAGCCGCUAGCGCCUUUUAUCUGCACCCCAGUUCGCGUCCUGGGGGUGGGGGUGAGAACCUUCCGCCAGUCGGUUUACGCUCGGUUUUGUCCCCCGUUGACAGGUGAAAAUUGGAUAAUAUGUGAUGGGUGCAAGCAUUUGGUGUCGUUAACUCUUCACCACCAGAAAACCAGUUAGCCACCUGGACACCUCUUCUGGGAGAAGAGUGUUUCUGGUAGCAAGGCCAGUGUCUCUAAGCGAAAGACAUGAGGCCUCAGCCUGCAUGAGGUUGUUUUGAGGUCAUCUGAUUUCUGACUAGAAGGUGUGCGGUCGCCUCGUCCUGAAACCACUGCAGACCG